rnacentral:piRNA from 1 species
UAUCAAGUGUGAAUUGGUAGGCCAUGUGU